rnacentral:misc_RNA from 1 species
GAGCUAGAAUUAGUGGGAGGAAUUGAAGAAGACUGAGGUAUGGGGGAAGGUGAGUUGGAGAUCGGCGAGGAAACUCUGGAUUUGGCAUCACCAGUGGACUUAUUGUUGCUCACUUCCUUCGAAUCAAACUUCAUUGAAUCAUUUGCAACUACUUCUUGCUUUGUUGGUCCCUGAGGCUGCCUCAUUAAGCCAUACAACACCUCAGCGACCUCAAUCUCCUCCUGAGUUGAGGAAGUAAACUUAGACGAGGAUUUCGGCGGUCUCUGCUUCGGCCCAUUAGGCUUCAUCUUCUUCUUAACUGA